rnacentral:rRNA from 1 species
UACGUAGGUGACAAGCGUUUAUCCGGAAUUACUGGGCGUAAAGCGCACGCAGGCGGUGCGGUAAGUCUGAUGUGAAAUCUCCUGGCUUAACUGGGAGGGGUCAUUGGAAACUGCCGUACUUUGAGGCGAUGAGAGGGGUGUAGAAUUCCCCGGUGUAGUGGUGGAAUGCGUAGAUAUCGGGAGGAAUACCAGUGGCGAAAGCGACACCCUGGCAUUAGCCUGACGCUCAUGUGCGAAGGCGUGGGGAGCGAACGGG